AAAGCAGACCUAUCUUAUCGCUUGCUUACAGAAUUAUAAAAUCUAUACUUUAUGAUAGUACUAUUUUAAAUUUAGUUUUUAUAAAAUUCUUGCAGUAAGAGGAAAGUCCGGACACCAUAGAGCAGCACAGCGGAUAACAUCCGUCCAAUGUAAAUUGAGGACUAGUGCAACAGAAAGCAAGUACAGUUCGGCUGUAGUGAAACCAGGUAAACUCUGUGCGGUGCAAUGUCAUGUACAUUAGAGUUUGAGGGUUACUCGCCCGAUUCUAAGGGGUAGACAGAUAGAUUCUAAGAGUAAUUUUAGAACUAGAUAAAUGAUAAGACUCUUUAAAGAGAACAGAAUCCGGCUUAUUGGUCUGCUUUUUUU
rnacentral:RNase_P_RNA from 1 species